GUCCGCGUAACUCAGUGGUAGAGUGGCGAUGGCCCUACCCUUGAAGUCGCGUGUUCGAACCACUCCGCGGACU